UGUUUACAUCGCUUUUCUGGCAGCUGUUUUCGAUGUAAAUAAUCUCAACUAGGUAAAAUAAACAAAUACCUUGAAAAAGCUGUGUGACAAACCUUAAUCCCACCCGUGGCAGGAAAUGCAGCCGCAAGGAUAAAGAAAUUCGAUAACAUUCCAACAAAGUAAUGGGACAUCUCUGGCGAGUGCAAUUCCCGCGGUUCCGAACCGCUGCAACGGCAACCUUCAACAGCAGCAGCAGUACCCAACAAUUUAACUACGGAAGUUAGUAGUUAUAGUUAUAGUGUUGAAGUGUUCUGCUAGUUAUAUAUAGUGUUCUGCUAGUUAUAUAUAGUUAUAGUGUUCUGCUGCAAUAAAUCAGCCAGCUUCGGUGAUUACGAAGACUUGAAUAAAUGUUAGUUUAUUUCAUUAAACGAA